rnacentral:tRNA from 2 species
GCUCUGUAGUGUAAUGGAAGCACUCAGGAAUUUGAAUCCUGCGGUAUGGGUUCGAACCCCAUCAGAGCCG